ensembl:lncRNA
CGGCACCGCGGGAAGUUUGAAUUCGCAGAAGGAGGAGAAGAAGAAAACAGCAGCGAUGGCCUCCGUUGUUAAAUUUAACGCAUUCUCAAGCGUCUAUCAAAGAGAGCACUGUUUCUUCACUGCCUGUGCCCUUGCUGUCAUCAUUUCCUGGUACCCGAACAGAUCCUCAGUCAGAUACAGGAACUACGUGUAUGUCACCUCUGCCUAUGCUGGCCUCGCCUGCGACCCGUACCCGACCUGUGAAGACUGCUGGCAGGGUGUUUGUACUGGACCACAAAUGCCGAGCCCAUUGACAACUUGCUUAAUAAACACCAUAGGAAGAAAAAUUCCUCUACUGAUCCAAACAGCACGCUCCAUCCGACCACAAAACUACAGGUCACAGUAUGUCAAGCACCGGGCCAAACAGCUGAUCACCAGUUCAUCAUUAAACAACUCCAGAGAAGCAUCUUUAAAGCAUGUAGUAAAACACCCAGAGCGCCUGUGGUUACAGUGAAGCCUGUGGAUGUAAACCCCGCAGCACCUGCUCUGACCACACUCCUAACUCACGAGACCAUUGAGAGAAUUGUAUUAUGGAAAGGCAGCCGAGAAAGAAACAAACAAAGACUUGUCUUGCUCGUGGACAGCCAAAGAUGUUUCCUCUAUCCACUUUUUUGUAAUCAGCAAGGCCCUGUCAGGUUCUUCUACUGUUACACAAAGGUUUUUAAUGCUUACAGUGAUUAAGGACUAGCAAACCCCAGAAUGCCAUUCCAAGACUUUAUGGAAAUGGAGCUCUGUAAGAGUGAAUUCGAGGAUACAAAGAAACGGGUGGAAGAGAGAGGACAGCAAAAACUUAAAAAAAAGGCCUGAAGCUGAACAUGUCGGUCACUUGUGCAGAUUUUGUGAAAUGGAACUGAAGCAGGGCCCAAACAGUCCUCACGUACACACAGGCUUUCCUGUGAAAUAUGUUCAGUGCCCUGCUAAAGUCUUUUCCAUUUACCAACAUCAGGGCACUGAGAAAGAGAUGACCUGGAAAGAGUCUAAAGAGUCUGCAUUUUACAAGAAAAAAAGGGCAGAAAAAAAAGAAAUAAAUGAUUAUUUUACCCCUUAGUAAUAUUUAACUGUAUAUACUGUACAUUUUUAUUUUUCAGUGUGAGAUUGUAAUAUCUAUAUAUAUUUUCAGAAUUCUAUUUUUCUUUCUAUUUUAUUACUUUGGAUUGAUCUUAAAAAGUGCUUAAAGCAUUUAAUAAAAAUACAACUGAU